GAUGAAGAACGUAGCGAAAUGCGAUAAGUAAUGUGAAUUGCAGAAUUCAGUGAAUCAUCGAAUCUUUGAACGCACCUUGCGCCCUUUGGCCAUUCCGAAGGGCAUGCCUGUUUGAGUAUCAUGAACACCUCAACUCUUCAUGGUUUUCCAUGAUGAGCUUGGACUUUGGGGGUCUUGCUGGCCUGUGGGUCGGCUCCUCUCAAAUGAAUCAGCUUGCCAGUUUUUGGUGGGCAUCACAGGUGUGAUAACUAUCUACGCUUGUGGUUUUCCACCAGGGUAAGCUUCAGCAGUGGAGGUUCACUGGAGCUUACAAAUGUCUCUCCUCUGUGAGGACAGCCCUUUGAAUGUUUGAUCUCAAAUCAGGUAGGACUACCCGCUGAACUUAAGCAUAUCAAUAAGCGGAGGA
rnacentral:misc_RNA from 1 species